GUAUAUUACUAGCUUCAUCUUUUGACUUAGUCAGAUUUUAAGGGAUUGAGGCACCAGCAUGAUUGGCAGUUAUUGUAUGAUUUGACUGUAUUGGCCAUUAUUAUGAAAGAUUCUGACAUGGAAUCCAGAAAUUUAGUUCACAAUUUCUCUUCAGUUUGUUCCAGGGGUCAUUCCUGAUCAACAAAAGUUGGAUUCUAUUUUUUUUAAACAAGGAAUCACAGCAGAAAUUAAUUUGCAAUAAUUAUUUCACUGCAUAAUCAUUAUCCUUAUAAAACGUCUAAGUCG
rnacentral:lncRNA from 1 species